rnacentral:ncRNA from 1 species
AAGCCCGCGGCGCAAUGAAGGUGAGGGCCGGUGCACGCCGGCUGAGGUGGGAUCCCGGGGCGUGUCGAGCGAGGAGUCCCGGGCGCACCACCGGCCCAUCUCGUCCGCACCGCCCGGCCAGGGAAGUGGAGUGUGAGCGUCCAUGCUAGGACCAGAAAGAUGGUGAACUACGCCUGGGCAGGGUGAAGCCAGCAAAAACUCUGGUGGAGGUCCGUAGCGGUCCUGA